GUUCGGGUAGCUCAGUUGGUUAGAGCAAGGGACUGAAAAUCCCUGUGUCGGAGGUUCAAAUCCUCUCCCGGACA
rnacentral:tRNA from 1 species